GGCUGGGGUGCGGGGAGUGCUUCCAGAGCCCCGUCUGGCCCGCCGCGGCUCCGCGGGCGAAGCUUGGCUAAGCAGGGCCACCGGCUGAAGGAACAGAGAGACAGAGUGAUGAGGAUGGUUGGCUUUCAGUGCUUGGGAAGAGACCGUUUUUUUGCGUUUUGGUUUUGUCCCCAGGUCAAGGCUGGGAUUCCUGGAACCUAGGGUGAGGAGUGGGGAGGCUGUAUAGUACUUAGACUUGUAGAGCCAAAUCAGCAACUCCCUCCUUACACCUUAGCCAUUUCUAACUCAGAGCCUAAGUUACCUGAAGAGGGCCUCAGGACCCCGGCCAGCUGAAUUUAGUAAGAUAAUACCAAACCAGCCCAGGCCCUAGUCCGAAGCAAGGCAUUUCUCCACUUCUCUGUGUUCUGCCAGUAAUUUCAGAGAGUAAGAGUAGGAAAGAUGUGGUAGGGGAAUUGGAAGGCCCCCAGCCCCCUAUUGCUGCUGAUUUUCCAAAGCUUUUGCGGGGAAAUGCGGGAUGGUUAGUCUAGAGAAGUAAGAUGGUCAGUGACCAGAGGGGAGGAGCCCACGUUCUGGAUCAGUGCUUUUCAAGGAAGAGAAGGUUAAAAAAUAAGCCCAGGCAGUCAGGAAAUCCAGGAAGGCAGCAGGUGGGUGGAGUGGGGUAGUCUCCCUGCAGGAAAACAGGUCAAUUUGAGAAAGAAUGCUGGCAGGGGUGAGGGGAAGAGAGGAUCCCAGCCUUUUCAAGUCACCACCAAGGUUCUGCAGUUCCUCAGAGAGCGGAACACACAACCAGAAAAGAAGUUUGGAGAUCUCUGGUUUGAAAAACUGACUCCUGGAGAGCAAGAAUUUGUCAGUGACUCUCCAGCGUGAUCCAUACAGAGGGUACCUGGCCAGAGUCUGAAUUAUCCAUGGUCAACUGCCUUCGGGAAGCAGAUGAUCUUCCUGACGGAUCCUGGGAAGGUCCAUACUGCCCAGCACUACAUCAUAUGCCUGCGUCAGCCCUCAAAGUCGUCUUAUUAUGUCAGCGAGGUAUCGUCUCACAUCACCACGAGAAGUGGAAAAGAAAACUGUUUUCACCAUUACUAUAGACCAAUGAUGAUCAUUUACUCUGAGACAGAGAACAAGGUAUCAAUCAGCUUUCAUUCCAUUCUCUCCUGUUGCUUCUCUGUGUAGUGCUCUAAAAGAGACCUGAAACAUUGGGAAAAAGCUAAUUUACCUUUAAAAAAAAAAAUAAGACCAACACUCUUAAGGCUCCAAACAAGACUGGAUCACAGCUUCAGGUCAGUAGAAGAAUUACAGGGCAGACACAUAAUCCUAUUCAUAAACAGCAACCAGUGUUAACAGUUGUUUCAUUUUCUUCUUUUCUCUUCUCUCCAAGACUAAUUAGCAUUACACACAGUGUGUUCCUUGUUACAAAUGCCUUCUUUCAGUGUUAGAACUAUAGUAUCUUUUGAUUACCCACAACUCUGAUCUAGUUUUUCAGUUAUGCCAAAGCCAAACACUCUGUAACACUUCAGACUAGCUAAACUAAAAAAAAAAAAAAAAAAAAAAAAAAAAAGAAACAACUAUCACAAGUGGAUGUGACAUGUAUACUACCUUCACUUUGUGAAUCAUCAUCACUUCAAAGAUAAACUAUAAAAGAAGACCUUUAAAAAAAAAAAGAAUACCUUUUUAUAUACUUACUGCUGAAAAGCUGCCAUUGUAUUCUCCAAAUUUUCUCCAGCACCUGUGAAAACAUUAAAUUUAAAUUUCAU